rnacentral:rRNA from 1 species
AAGGGGAAGAGCCCAGCGCUGAAUCUCUCGGUCUUAGGCCGCUGAGAACUGUAGCGUAUAGGUGUGAUUGUCCGGCUAUAUUGCAUUUCCGAAGUCUCUUUGAUAGGGGCCAACAUCCAUAGAGGGUGCGAGACCUGUACGGAAAGUAGUGUAGUUGGUAUGGUUACUCCUUGGAGUCGGGUUGCUUGAAAGUGCAGCCUAAAGUGGGUGAUAAACUUCAUCUAAGGCUAAAUAUCGACGCGAAAUCGAUAGCAAACAAGUACCGUGAGGGAAAGUUGCAAAGAACUUUGAAGAGAGAGUUCAAGAGAACGUGAAAUCGCUGAAGUGGAACCGGAGAGAGUUAACAUAACUUGGUAGCUAUAUUCUCUAUAGUCGCUUAGCUGUGGCUUUGGGGGGUGGACGCUACCUGUUGUUGCGCUGACUGCGUUGAUCAUGCUUUCCUAACAAUGUAGUGUUGCCCACAUUGUGGUGUCUUGCUUAUUGGGAGGUUUGUCAUGGUUAACGUCAAGCCUUAGUUUCUAGGGAGUCAGUGUGAAAGUUAACCACCUUUCCGACCCGUCUUGAAACACGGACCGAGGAGUGUAAUUUACACGCGAGUCAAAGGGCUGAGGAAACCUUAUGGCAUAAUGAAAGUAAAGACCGGUUAACCGGUUGACAUGGGAUCCGACUGAACUUCUUCGAAACGGAGCACCAUGGCCCUGUCUUGUCUGCUUGCAGAUGGGCAGCGGUAGAGCGUGUAGGUUGC